rnacentral:rRNA from 1 species
UUGAGCGGAGAUAUAUGGAGCUUGCUUUAUAUAACUUAGCAGCGAACGGGUGAGUAACACGUAGAUAAUCUAUCCUAUACUGGGGGAUAGCCCGAUGAAAGUUGGAUUAAUACCGCAUACAGCUAUAUAGUUGCAUGAUUAUGUAGUGAAAGAUUUAUUGGUAUAGGAGGAGUCUGCGGCACAUUAGCUAGUAGGUGAGGUAAAGGCUUACCUAGGCGACGAUGUGUAGCCGGUCUGAGAGGAUGAACGGCCACAAUGGAACUGAGACACGGUCCAUACUCCUACGGGAGGCAGCAGUGGGGAAUAUUGCACAAUGGGGGAAACCCUGAUGCAGCAACGCCGCGUGAGUGAAGAAGGUUUUCGGAUUGUAAAGCUCUGUUAGCAGGGAAGAGGAAGGACGGUACCUGCAGAGGAAGCCACGGCUAACUACGUGCCAGCAGCCGCGGUAAUACGUAGGUGGCAAGCGUUGUUCGGAAUAACUGGGCGUAAAGGAUGCGUAGGCGGUUAAACAAGUUAUAUGUUAAAUAUAUAGGCUUAACCUGUAGAAAGCAUAUAAAACUGUUUAACUAGAGUGCAGGAGAGGUAAGUGGAAUUCCUAGUGUAGCGGUGAAAUGCGUAGAGAUUAGGAAGAACACCAGUGGCGAAGGCGACUUACUGGACUGUAACUGACGCUGAGGCAUGAGAGCAUGGGGAGCAAACAGGAUUAGAUACCCUGGUAGUCCAUGCUGUAAACGAUGGGUACUAGGUGUGGGUUGUGAAUAACAAUUCGUGCCGUCGCAAACGCAAUAAGUACCCCGCCUGAGGAGUACGAUCGCAAGAUUA